GGAAACGGAUAGUAUCCCAAUUUUUCUAUCCUCUCAGUAUUUCUCUUUCAGUUUCUCCUUCCCUUCAUCUAUGUAUCUUUGCAGAGAUUCAGAUGCGGAUGGAUAUGAAUUCAUUAAAUCCAAUCCAGACGGUAUAGGGUGCAAGAAACUCAAUACAAAAAGAAUAUGAAUUGCAUCAGCUAGGUUUGAUUUGUUUGUAUGAAUGGUUAGGUGUUGACGACAAUGAUGUGGAUAAUGUAAUUUUGUGAUUUGGUGGGAGAAAUAGCGACCAGUCAGGCGAUGAACCCAGUAAAUGAGACCCCGGUAAAUGGAGAUCGUGUCAUCCGCAAAGAAGCUGGGCCAAAUUCUGGUGGUCAUGUAGAAAUGUGAAAAGGUGGGGGUGGCGGAUUUUGUGAUAAACAUGCUCGGUUGUCCUAAAAACUAUCCGUAGCGGAAACUUCCGAUGCUCCAGGUACGUUGGAUGAAUUUCCCCAGCAAGGAAAUGGUCGACUCACUCCAUGAGAACCAAGGGACACCAUGGUUCCGCAAAGUGGAGGUUGAAUUCAAUCAACCGAACAGAGCUACAAGUAACCAUCCUUUUCCAUGUGUGGUUUAAUUUCCUGAAAGGAAGUGUUCCAAGGUCUGGUUGGUAAUUCUUUGAAACAAUCCUAGGUCUGUAACAACAAGUCUUGUAAGUUAAAUGACGACCGGGGCAUUGGAUGUUACUUCAGUGGAUGGUUUAGGAUUACUUCCAGACUGGUGUAGGUUAGGCACAGACAUUUUGAUCCGGCCACCUAAAGAUGUUCCCGAUCCUCGGCACAAAAUGGUUGGUGAGAUGCUUAGCGAAAAAGUGCCGGAGUUUAUAGUUGGUUCCAAGCAAGUGGCGGGAGAUUGCAGGUGAGUAUUUAUCCUUUUCACAUCCUUUUGUUGUCCCUUUUUAGUGUCAUCCAUAUAUGUGGAAAUGUUCUCACCCAUCUUGAUCCAUUUCCACUAAUCUUUUGUUUGGGCAGUGAAUCUGAAAUAGAUGAUGACUACUUAAUUGGGUGAUCAUCGUCAUCUGUCAGAUACACACGCUCUUGCAUCACUUAACCGUAGAGUCGCUACCCCUGUCUUUGUAUUAUUUAUGUAGAAUUUAGCUCCUAUGAAUUGUUAUUUCUGAUUAGGACAUAGUGUUUUUGUAAUCAUUAUGGCUUAUUUAUCAAUCCAGUGAUGCCGCAUCUCCUUAUUUGUUUGGGUUUAAGUGGCGCAAGCGCGGAUGCUGUUCAUCCUGCUGCUGCCGGCCAAGGGGUUAUCAUGCUUUGCAGGAAUGAACAUGGCAGUAUGUGUCCCUGUGAAUCAUAGAUGUUGUGACUAUGGUUGGUCAAAUCCAUGAAACCAUUGUCGAGUUCAGUGUACUACUUCCGCCUUAUUUAAUUCGUUCAAUGGAAGAAUACAUUUCGGUACUUGUAGUUGCCGCAAACGAAAUACAAAUUCCUCUUGA